rnacentral:rRNA from 1 species
UACGUAGGUGGCGAGCGUUGUCCGGAUUUACUGGGCGUAAAGGGAGCGUAGGCGGGCUUUUAAGUGAGAUGUGAACACUCGGGCUCAACUUGAGUGCUGCAUUUCAAACUGGAAGUCUAGAGUGCAGGAGAGGAGAAUGGAAUUCCUAGUGUAGCGGUGAAAUGCGUAGAGAUUAGGAAGAACACCAGUGGCGAAGGCGAUUCUCUGGACUGUAACUGACGCUGAGGCUCGAAAGUGUGGGUAUCAAACAGG